CGGCCACAUUGGGACUGAGACACGGCCCAGACUCCUACGGGAGGCAGCAGUGGGGAAUAUUGCACAAUGGGGGAAACCCUGAUGCAGCGACGCCGCGUGGAGGAAGAAGGUCUUCGGAUUGUAAACUCCUGUUGUUGAGGAAGAUAAUGACGGUACUCAACAAGGAAGUGACGGCUAACUACGUGCCAGCAGCCGCGGUAAAACGUAGGUCACAAGCGUUGUCCGGAAUUACUGGGUGUAAAGGGAGCGCAGGCGGGAAGACAAGUUGGAAGUGAAAUCCAUGGGCUCAACCCAUGAACUGCUUUCAAAACUGUUUUUCUUGAGUAGUGCAGAGGUAGGCGGAAUUCCCGGUGUAGCGGUGGAAUGCGUAGAUAUCGGGAGGAACACCAGUGGCGAAGGCGGCCUACUGGGCACCAACUGACGCUGAGGCUCGAAAGUGUGGGUAGCAAACAGGAUUAGAUACCCUGGUAGUCCACACCGUAAACGAUGAUUACUAGGUGUUGGAGGAUUGACCCCUUCAGUGCCGCAGUUAACACAAUAAGUAAUCCACCUGGGGAGUACGACCGCAAGGUUGAAACUCAAAGGAAUUGACGGGGGCCCGCACAAGCAGUGGAGUAUGUGGUUUAAUUCGAAGCAACGCGAAGAACCUUACCAGGUCUUGACAUCCAACUAACGAAGUAGAGAUACAUUAGGUGCCCUUCGGGGAAAGUUGAGACAGGUGGUGCAUGGUUGUCGUCAGCUCGUGUCGUGAGAUGUUGGGUUAAGUCCCGCAACGAGCGCAACCCUUAUGGUCAGUUACUACGCAAGAGGACUCUGGCCAGACUGCCGUUGACAAAACGGAGGAAGGUGGGGAUGACGUCAAAUCAUCAUGCCCUUUAUGACUUGGGCUACACACGUACUACAAUGGCGUUAAACAAAGAGAAGCAAGACCGCGAGGUGGAGCAAAACUCAGAAACAACGUCCCAGUUCGGACUGCAGGCUGCAACUCGCCUGCACGAAGUCGGAAUUGCUAGUAAUCGUGGAUCAGCAUGCCACGGUGAAUACGUUCCCGGGCCUUGUACACACCGCCCGUCACACCAUGAGAGCCGGGGGGACCCGAAGUCGGUAGUCUAACCGCAAGGAGGACGCCGCCGAAGGUAAAACUGGUGAUUGGGGUGAAGUCGUAACAAGGUAGCCGUAGGAGAACCUGCGGCUG
rnacentral:rRNA from 1 species